UGUUUGCGUUAGGGAUAGUAGUGGAAAGCCCACAGUCUCGUCUCGUCUUUUUGGACGAGACGAGACGAGGACUUGUAACGGAUAGCCCGACCCAUU
rnacentral:sRNA from 1 species